rnacentral:rRNA from 1 species
GAUGAACGCUAGCGGCAGGCCUAAUACAUGCAAGUCUAAGGGGUGGCAACAUCACUGGCGAACGGGUGCGUAACGCGUAUAGAACCUACCUUUCACUGGGGGAUAGCUUUUGGAAACAGGAGAUAAUACCGCAUAAGAUAGCACUUCGGCAUCGAAGAGUUAUUAAAGAUUUAUUGGUGAGAGAUGGCUAUGCGUAUGAUUAGCUAGUUGGUAAGGUAACGGCUUACCAAGGCUACGAUCAUUAGGGGUUCUGAGAGGAUUGGCCCCCACACUGGCACUGAGAUACGGGCCAGACUCCUACGGGAGGCAGCAGUAGGGAAUAUUGGGCAAUGGGCGAAAGCCUGACCCAGCCAUGCCGCGUGCAGGAUGAAGGCCCUCUGGGUCGUAAACUGCUUUUGACGGGGAAGAAAAGGGCUAUGCGUAGCAAAUUGACGGUACCCGCAGAAUAAGCCACGGCUAACUACGUGCC